rnacentral:rRNA from 1 species
GACGAACGCUGGCGGCGUGCUUAACACAUGCAAGUCGAGCGGGAGAAUUCGGUGCUUGCACCGAAGGAUCUAGCGGCGGACGGGUGAGUAACACGUGGGCAACCUGCCCUAAGGAGGGGAAUAACAGGCCGAAAGGUCUGCUAAUACCGCAUAAUAUCUAAGUUUCGCAUGGAGUUUAGAUUAAAGAUUUAUCGCCUUAGGAUGGGCCCGCGGCGCAUUAGCUAGUUGGUAGGGUAACGGCCUACCAAGGCGACGAUGCGUAGCCGACCUGAGAGGGUGAUCGGCCACAUUGGGACUGAGACACGGCCCAGACUCCUACGGGUGGCAG